CCCUUUGAUACUCUGGGCGGCACGCGCGCUACACUGGUUUAUAUAACGUGUAAUUUGGACGAUAGUCUGUAUAAAUCACUAAUAUAAAACCGUGAAUGGGAUAGUUUAUUGCAACUUACAAACUUUAACUAGGAAUCCCUUGUAGAAGUAGUGAAUUAUACUGCUUCGAAUACGUCCCUGCCGAUUGUACACACCGCCCGUCGUUUCUUCCGACUGGUACUCAUUGUGAAUUGCGAGGAGAUUCUGUCAAAUCGUUGUAAAUGCUGGGUAUUGGAGGAAGAAAAAGUCGUACA
rnacentral:rRNA from 1 species